AGUGAACGCUGGCGGUAGGCCUAACACAUGCAAGUCGAACGGCAGCACAGAGGAGCUUGCUCCUUGGGUGGCGAGUGGCGGACGGGUGAGGAAUACAUCGGAAUCUACUCUGUCGUGGGGGAUAACGUAGGGAAACUUACGCUAAUACCGCAUACGACCUACGGGUGAAAGCAGGGGAUCUUCGGACCUUGCGCGAUUGAAUGAGUCGAUGUCGGAUUAGCUAGUUGGCGGGGUAAAGGCCCACCAAGGCGACGAUCCGUAGCUGGUCUGGGAGGAUGAGCAGCCACACUGGAACUGAGACAUGGUCCAGACUCCUACGGGAGGCAGCAGUGGGGAAUAUUGGACAAUGGGCGCAAGCCUGAUCCAGCCAUACCGCGUGGGUGAAGAAGGCCUUCGGGUUGUAAAGCCCUUUUGUUGGGAAAGAAAUCCAUCUGGUUAAUACCCGGGUGGGAUGACGGUACCCAAAGAAUAGGCACCGGCUAACUUCGUGCCAGCCGCCGCCGUAA
rnacentral:rRNA from 1 species